rnacentral:lncRNA from 10 species
CUGUAAUCCCAGCAUUUUGGGAGGCUAAGGUGGUGGAUCUCUUGAGGUCAGGAGUUUGAGACCAGCCCAGCCAAUAUGGAGAAAUCCCAUCUCUACUAAAAAUACAAAAAAAUUAGCGAGGCAUGGUGGCACACACCUAUAGUCCCAGAUACUCGGGAGACUGUGGCUUGAGAAUCCUUUGAACCCGGGAGGCAGAGGUUUCAGUGAGCCAAGAUUGCACCGUUGCAUUCCAGCCUGGGCUACAGACCAAAACUCCUGAAGUCUUUUAACUCGUAUUUGUUUAAUAAAUGCAUAAAAUAGAGUUAUAAAUUUUAUUUGCAAUAUGUAUUGCUAAUGUGUAGUGAUAUUUUUCCCAAGACUUAUCCCAAGGAAGUGAAAUGUCUAUAUGUCUUAAUGCCUGACUCUAUACUUAGAAAAGGUGUAUUAUUAUUUUGCUCCAUAAAGAUCUUCUAGGACCCUCAAUUGAAUUCUUGGAAAAUGACAUUAUCCCUUUUAAAUAGCCAUUUUCCACAGCAGUGAGUUCAAAUCAUGAAAAAUUAAACAAAAGCUCUUUAGCUUGGAUAAAUACACAUCAUGAAGACUGACAGCCUAUGCUAAAUUAUAAGAGAAGUUGAGAAGACUAUUGAAGAUUACAGAGAAGGUGGCAGGAGAAAAAGGGAAACAUUUUUUGUGUAUGUAAUAGGAGCUAGAUGUACAUAAAUUCUCAUGAUAACCUGAGCAUGUAAUUAUUGAAGAAAUUUUAUAAAUGAGGAAGUAGAUGCCCAGAAUUUUAGAACUGAUACUGAAAUCCAGUUCUAUAUGUCUUCAAUAUCAGUGUUUUCAUUGACCCUAAAGGACUCUGCACUAAUCUGGGAAGUUUCUCUCUUUCUCUCUUUCCAGUGAAUCUUCCUAAGACAGUACUUGCCAUAAGAUAAUACCUGCACCUUUUAAUUCAGAGUGAAGAUGACACAAGGCUUACAUAAAUUCACUUUACUUUGUCAAUAUUCAUAUUUGGCAUGAACAAUAAAUUGCAUAUGCCAGUACAACUAGAUUCCUCAGGGAUCUAGAACUAGAAAUACCAUUUGACUCAGCCAUCCCAUUACUGGGUAUAUACCCAAAGGAUUAUAAAUCGUGCUGCUAUAAAGACGCACACAUAUGUUUAUUGCGGCACUAUUCACAAUAGCAAAGACUUGGAACCAACCCAAAUGUACAACAAUGAUAGACUGGAUUAAGAAAAUGUGGCACAUAUACACCAUGGAAUACCAUGCAGCCAUAAAAAAGGAUGAGUUCAUGUCCUUUUUAGGGACAUGGAUGAAGCUGGAAACCAUCAUUCUCAGCAAACUAUCACAAGGACAAAAAACCAAACACCGCAUGUUCUCACUCAUAGGUGGGAACUGAACAAUGAGAACGCUUGGACACAGGGUGGGGAACAUUACACACCGGGGCCUGUCAUGGGGUAGGGGUAAGGGGAAGGGAUAGCAUUAGGAGAUAUACCUAAGGUAAAUGAUGAGUUAAUGGGUGCAGCACACACCAACAUGGCACAUGUAUACAUAUGUAACAAACCUGCAUGUUGUGCACAUGUACCCUAGAACUUAAAGUAUAAAAAUAUAUAUAUAUAUAUGAGAAAAAAGUUACCUUUUGAGUAAAAUGAGUGGAAUGAGCUUAUAAUGUAAGGACAGAGACUGUCUCCUAAAUUUAUUAGAAUAAUUACUUUGCUGAGAAUGGUGCUUUAGUUUAAUCAAUGAAAUGUCCUAGGACUGUUGUGAGGACUAAAUAAGAUAACAUGUGAGGAGUAUUAAUGUCUGGCACAUAGGAAUUCUUAUUGUUAUUAUCAGGAUUAUUGCCUGAUCAGAAUACCAAUGUGGUUAUCAAGGUGGUAAAUCUGGGGGAUUAAUUAAAACAGGCCCGGAAAGGUUUUCCUGGUCUGGCAAUCAUCUUUCAAAACCUUCUGCCUCUCUCGGAGUCAGGGUACACCAAACUACUGAGUUUCUGAUUCCCUCAGAAUUAGUGAGGAAGAUACUAGGGAAAUAGUUUAGCCUUCCAAUUACUAGAAUGCGUCACUCCAUGUUAACUAUCUCCUUGGCUAUCUAGUUUAUACAAUUAGUGUCAAAUGAAUUUAUUUUUUGAAUCUGUGUGACCUUUUUUUUUGUUGUUGUUGUUGCAUGAACUAAGGAAGUCCAUUUCUCAGGCAGGAAGACUGAAAACUAGAUUACCUAUGGAGGCUUCAUUGUAGUUUUCCAGCUGGCUUUUCUCUGCAAAUACACACACUAUUCUUGUUUAAAUGUCAUUAAAAAUUUCAAAACUUCCCUUGUUUCUCAUUAAAGCCCACAGCUCAUUUACCACUCUGUAGAUUGCUCCUUAAAAAGUCCUUGCAUGUGAAGUGGUGAAAUAGUUCCUAGUGAAGUGUUUGAUAGUGACAUUGAAACAAAAAGAGCUGAAGGGCUGCAGAAAAAAAGUUAAGGUUCUAGAGAAGGAAGCAUAAUAUCAGCUUUAUAAGUGCUGUUAUAUGAAGAGAAAUUACAUUUUUAAAAUGACGUAUAGCUUACUAGGACAAAAACAAGGACCAAUUGUUAGAAAUCAAUCACAGAUGUGUCAGAAUCAUCCUGAACUUGUUGCUUUCCUUGCUGCCUUACAGUCAGUCACCGAGAGCUUCUGAUUCUGUAUACUAACCAACUCAUCUUCAUCCUCAUUCUCACUACUUUAGAUCAAGCUCUCAUCCAUGACUCCCCCCAAUAGCUCACUGAUUAUCUUUCUGCAUUCUACUAAUGCCACUAACAUCAUAUCUUUUGAAGUAUAGGUAGGAUAAUAUCAAUUCCUUGUUUAAUAACCUAUCACAACUACCCUUGUCAAUGGCAUGUUUUCAAGGCAAAUUUUUCAGACAUACUUUUGAAGAUAAGAAUGUUAUGGUUUUUAAACAUUGGGUUUUUAUGGUGAUGACAGCUAACAUUUAAUGUAUUACGAAUGAAUUUAUAACUCUUUAAAAGUGAAGAUUUGAAAGAAUCUUAGAAUAAACUUCAGUUUCUUAAUUCUGUAGGGAUUUGUGAACAUAUUCCUAGAGGCCUAUAAUGUGUUUUUUUCCUUCAAGAAGAUUGAGAGACACUGGUAUACACGGAUUUUUCUAAACUCCUUACAUCUCUUGUUAUUUCCCACUACAAACUCAAUAUUCUAGCCACGUAGAACUUCUCAUUUUUUGGUAACUCAUCUCACACUUUCACACCUCUGUGUCAUUGCAUAUGUUGUUCCCUCUGCUGGAAAUGCCUCUCCUCCUCUUCUCUGCUCAGUGAGCAGUUACUGAUAUUUCAAGAUCCAAUUCUAUUUUCACCUCCUUAGGAAAUAUUUCUGGUGUAUCUGGGUUCCUACCUCAUUUUAUAUCAAUUACCAUUUUAUGUAUUUACGUGGAGUUUCUUCACUUGAUGGUGAGCUUUUCAGUAAGAUAAGCUGUGUAAGUCAUCUUUGUAUUUUUUUGUACUUCCAUAGUAUACCAUAAUACCAGGUUCAUGGAUGGCUCUAUUUAAGUCGAAUGGAAUUAGAUUUUGGUUUAGCCUAAAGAACUUCAUGUUUUCCCUUGUGGGGUAGGUUUUCCCUUGAUGGGUCACAUGGUGGUGUUAUCCCAAUGGGCAUCUUAGCAUAGUGUGGGAUGUCGGACUGAAUAUACUGAGAAGUCUCCUCCAAUAGUAAGUUUCCAUAGUCAUAAACUGCAUUUGUUAGAAGGGGGUGGUUUGAAACAAUAUAUGAUCAACCAAGAUUGACUUGGUCCUACCUAUGAUUAAUUUGAUUUUACACUAUUCUUGGUAUAUGUAAGUUUUACAAUGAAGGUAGUUUUCUUUUAUUUAUUGAUUUAUCAGUCUGUCAGCCAAUACUUAAUGAGCACCUACUAUAGGCAGCCACUGUGCUCAGAAUUGGAAACACACCAUUAAACGCCAAGAAGUUGUUCCUUGUUCCUGUCUCCUUUUUCCCUUUUGGGUAACAGAAGAUACCUUUGUUCCUGCUGUCACCUCAUUUUUGAAACUUGUCCUGAAAUCCUAUCUGUCUCCAGAAACAUUAUUUAUUUUUGGUUCUAUCUUCAUGAAUUUUCCAUCCUCCCCUUUCCCUUAUUUUUCCACUAAAUGUAGGCCAUUAUAAUAUAUUUUCUCAGGACUCACUGUAAACUUACUUUGUUAAGCUAAUUGCCAGAGAAGUUAAUGAUUGCUAAGUUGUCAGUAACUAACCACAGCUUAACACAAUACUGUUGUGCCCUUUGUUGAAAAAAUGUUCUAACUACCUUACAUGUAUUGCAUCAUUUAAUUCUUUGAAUCUUAUACAUUAUUAUUGUUAUCCACAUUUUACAUAUGAGAAGUUAAAUAACAUACCCAAGGUCACACAUCUAGGAAGUGGUUGAGCUAGGAUGUAAUCCUAGUCAGUUUGAUUACUUUUAACCAAUUCAUUGAAAUUUCAGUCCCCAUGUCCCAUUCUCCAACAGUGCUAUUAAAAAAAUAAAUAAAAGAAAAAGUAAACAAAAAAUCUCUUGUAAACUCUGAAAUACAGGACAUAAUGGAUAGAGAGUUUCAUGAGAGAAAAUUUCUGUUUUAAUGUGACAACUGACACUGCACAGGGUCCCCUAUUUAACCUAAUCAGAAAACUUCUUAUAAUACAGACUUAUUUUUCUUUGCUUUAUCUAGAAACAUGAGGUUUUUAUUUUAUUUUUAUUUAUUUAUUUAUUUAUUUAUGGGAAGAGUCUCACUCAGGCUGGAGUGCAGUGGCAUGAUCUAGGCUCACUGCAGCCUCUGCCUCCUGGGUUCAAGCGAUUCUCCUGCCUCAGCCUCCCAAGUAGCUGGGAUUACAGACAUGUGCCACCAUGCCUGGCUAAUUUUUGUAUUUUUAGUAGAAACGGGGUUUCUCUAUGUUGGCCAGGCUGGUCUCAAGCUCCUGACCUCAGGUGAUCCACCUGCCUUGGACUUCCAAAUUGCUGGGUUUACAGGCGUGAGCCACCACACCCGGCCAUGUGGUCUCUCUUACACAAUUCACAAAUUACACAUCUUCACUAUUUCAGCAAUGAAAUCUAAGAGGAAAGCUGAGUUUACUUAAAUAACUUCAGUAGACAAAAAUAAAACAGUUCCUUUGUCCUAGCAAUGACUAUGAAUAUUUUGUUCCAUGGGAAGUGCAUUAUACACUUCUCACGAGACCAAGAAAGAAAAGGAAGCAAUAACUUUGAGGUAUAAUCAAAAGUAACAAUUCCAUUUCAUAUGCAUUUAUUGAGAGAGCAGAGUAUAAUUUUGACAUUUGCUCUCCUCUCAAGUCCUACUGUCCUCACUGCUAUAUUCACUUGUGUACUCCUUAUAGACCAAGACACCCCACAUCCCUGUCCUAUUCAUGAUGUGAGAUAAAAUGUGUCUCUCUGGUGAGGAAAACUUGCUUCCGAAUCUUGAUCUUGAGUUUCCUUCCCAAUGAAAGAAAACAUUACUCCUUGGAGUCAUGGCUAAUUUCAGGCCUGGAGCAUUGUAGGUACAAGAUGCUCUAGAAUAAUUUGCUUACCAGAGAGAAUGUGUGUUUUAAAAAAUGUGUAUAUGAAAUGGAGACAUAAGAACCAGCUUGAAGGUGUACCAUGGGCAAAUUCUGGAACCAUUGGAACACAAAGAUAAUUAAGCACAUCAAUGAGUUAUACACUAUCAAACAAUGGAAAGCCUUUACUCCAUACCAUUAAUAUAGAUAGAUGAUAGAUAGAUAGAUAGAUAGAUAGAUAGAUAGAAAAAAUGGAGGAUUUUUGCUAAUAGUAGAAUCCUGAAUAUUGGCUAAUAAAUUUAAAAGCAGUGCUGAAGUUGAAAAAUCAUAAAUUUGUAACCAUCGACGAUGCCAACUGUAGAAGAAAUUGUGAUAAGAGGUGAGGUAUUUGCAUAGUCUUAAAAUGUCUCCAUGUAGACAGUUUAUUAAACAAGGGGAAGAAAUAAUUAUACAGUGGGAAAAUUGGACCACAUCUGGAGUAGGUGAUUAACAUCACCAACGUGAGACAGAUGGUCAUGAUGUGCCUCCAGAUGUGACACCAUCUCAGAAAGAUGCAUAAUCACCUAUGUGGAAUUUUGGCUAAUAGUGCAUUACCUGGAUCUAGUCAUGAAGAAAUAUUAGAUACACUCAAAAUGAAGAAUGUUCUAUUAAAAAAAUGAGGAGGAAGAGGAGGAACUAUAUCCUCCAGAGCUGUCAAGCACAUAAAGACACAUAUGUACAAGGUUAUGGAAAUAUUUCAGACUAAAGAACCAUGAAAACUAAAUGCUAUUUGAUCCUAGACUAGAUUCUAUUUUGGAGAGGAAAAAUACUGAGGAUAUUAUUAUAUCUAAUUUUAAAAACUGAUAUACAGUAGAUUUGAUAAAAGCAUUAUAUCAAUAUAGAGUUUACUGAAGUUGAAAACUGUUCUGUGGCUAUAUGAGUCUAUUCCUAUUCUUAGGAAAUACACACUAAAAUAUUCAGGGGUAAAGAGUUACAGUCUAUGCAAUUUACCCUUAAAAUGGCUCAGACUGGGAGAGAGAGAGAGAGAAACAGGAUACAAUGUAAGUAAGUUUGGGUAAAAUAUAUAUUCAUGUUUUUUGUAUUGCUUUUAUUUUCACAACAUCUCUGUAAGCUUAAAAUUAUUGCUGAAUACAAAUUUAAGAAAAAAUAAUUUUAAAAUGUGUACCUGGUAAAGAAAAGUUCUUCUUAGCAGCUGAGCUUAAUGGUUUCUCACAUUUUCUCUCAUGACAUGGACUUCAUACAACAGGCAUGGAUAAGGUAAGUGGUGGUUUAGAUGCAAUUUGAAAGAUUCUAGCUAUUAUUUACAUACUCGGUUAUCAGAUACUUACCGAACGACUGUGUGCCAGACAAUAUGCUAUGUUGCAUCUGUUUGCUUCUCACACACUUUGCCUACUAAAGUGUGUAAGAAUGAGAAUAAAUUAUGGGAAAAAAUAAUUUACAAACAUAAAUUAUUUGUAGUAGCAAAUUAUUUGUAGUAAAUCUGCUGUUCCCUCCUCACCUGUGUGUAUUAGACUCUCACUUGAAAACCACUGGCUGAGUUGACACAUCUUGAGCCACUUUUUUUCUUUGACUUGAGACCCUAGACGAGUGAUGUUCCCCUGCCUUAUUUCUGCAACUAACCCAUGCUUCUUAAUAAUAAAAUAUAUGCUUUGUCACUUAUGGCUGAAAAAACAGCAAAAUGCUCCAGUUUCCUUAAAGAUGUAGCUUCGCUUUGCAAUGUCAUUAAUAUCAGCAUUCUGAGUACUGUUGUUAAUCCCUGAAGAGUCCAGUGGGUCACCCAAUCCUCCCAGAUGGUGACUUUGAAAUUGUGUACCUUAGAUUUGUUAUAUAGGCUCUGAGAUUACCUGGCAUUAUGUCUUGCCUUCUUAUGUCAAAAGACCAAACUGGUAUUGUCCACUUUAAAGAAACUCUCAACCCACUGUUGAUUAUCAGAGUGCAAUGGAAAGAACUUGGACUUUGGUACUUGAUAAAGCUGGGGGCAGAUUAUCUCCACCACUUUUCAAUGGGAAUCAAUAACCAAAAGAUGAAUAUCUCUGAUAAUGUUUCCUCCCUUAAAAGUGGGAAUAAUAAAUACAAUCUUCCUCAGGGGAUAGUUAUUAGAAUUGAGUGAAUUAAUGCCAUACAAAGUGUUUGACAUGGUGUUUUGGAUACGGUGAUUACUUUAAAAAGUUAAUCAUGAAUAUUACCAUAGAAGAAUAAACCUAAUUUCUAUUUUCAUAGCUGGAAAACAGAAUUCAUCUUUAGGAUGAGACUUGCCUUGCUUCAAUUGAUUCUGGAUGUAAGACCCUGAGAUUAUGGUUUUGAAUAAAACAGGGAAAUGAAUGAAACAGUAAAACCACUCUGCACAGUACAAUAAUAAAAGUUGGGGUGUAAAACAAUGACAAAAAGGAAAAAAAAAGAACAAGUCAAGGAGAAAGGAUUACAAAAGAGAGGAAAGUUUUUCUACAUGUUAAGGUGUCACAGGCCUUUUAGGAGCUGCGAUGUCUAGUGUUAAAUUUUGAGUUGUCUGCCUUGCCACAAGUCAGUGCCUAUGUCUUCCCCAAACUCCUGGUAAAUUUGUGACUUGAUUGAGUUUUUUUUUGUUUGUUUUUGUUUUGUUGUGUUUGUUUGUGAUUUUGUUUUCCUAAUGCAAAUUUAUGUGAGUGAAAUGGGUUUCAUGACUGAGUCAGCUAUAAGCAGAAAAGAAUGAAUCGAUGUUUGAAUGCAAAAUGCAAGCAAGAUGAAAACAUUUGUAGGAUAAAUAUUUAGGAGUUAGAGAAGAUCAUGAGAUGUAAUCUCUGAUGAAGAACAGAAAACUUAAGGGAUAAUGAGAGGGAGGCUUUACCUAUGUGCUGUGUCCUUAUUACAGUUAAAUGAAUGAACUUACCUCAAAGAACCCACUGCCUAGAAUAUUUUAAACAGGAGAAAACUAAAACACUAAAACGUAGGAAAAUAGUAUCAGUCCACAGACUUAUAUCUGAAAUUCCACAAUACAAAAUGUUCUGGAAAUGAAAUUAAUUUUUCUCUUUUAAUGGAAAAAACUGACUUUACUCACCAUUAGGUUGCCUAUUGCCUGUAUUUAUUACCAUGAUGAAUAUAUUCAUAUAUUUCACUAAAGCUGCUACUGCUGCUUCUUCUGCUUCUGCUGCUGCUUCUUUCCUCAGAGUCUCUCACUUUGUUACCGAGGCUGGAAUGCAGUGACACAAUCAUAGCUCACUGCAGCCUGAAACUUCUGAGUUCAAGUGAUCCACCUGUCACAGCCUCCCAAGUAAACUGGGAUUACAGGCAUGAGCCACCAUGCCUGGCUCCUGAAGCUAACACGUUGAAUUAUAACGUGCUGACCAGUGUCAGCUAGGGUCAUUGUCGAUAUAAGUAUAUACAACACAUAUUCUUGGUCAACUCAGAAAAUUCUGAAUUCUCAAAUACCUCCUAGGACUUUGGAUAAGAGACUGUAAAUAUGAAUUCAGAAAAAAAAUUAAAAGUGAAAAGAAAGAGAUUACCUUCCAGUGUAUUUCUAAAGCUGAAAUUGGCAGCUUUAUCCAUGGAACCAGAUUCAUAUUGGGUCAAACUCAGGCAAAAUUCUACAUCAGCUGAAGAGGGGAGCCUUGGGGUUCUGGAUUUGUCAUGGUUUCCAGGAUUACGCCGUAAAGGUCCCUCGGGCGUUCCAUUGCAUAAAGACUGAUGGCUGUUGUACUCCUCCAAUCGGCUACAGACAAUCUGUACAAAACACCCUCAUGUUAAACAAAUUGUCACCACCACUGAGUCAGUAGGAGAAGGCAGAAAUGUUGGAACUCCUAAUUAUCGUUGUUAGACUUCUCCUGAGGAGAUUACUACAAUCAUGUGUCUUUAAUGACAGGGAUAUGUUCUGAGAAAUCCAUCAUUAGGUGAUUUUGUCAUUGCGUGAACAUCAUAGUCAGUGUACUUGCACAAACCUAGAAUGGUAUAGCCUACUAAACAUCUUGGCUGUUUGGUAAAACCUACUGCUCCU